rnacentral:misc_RNA from 1 species
AACUGAUACUACCUGCGGGAACCUGCGGAAGGAUCAUUACACAGUAGCAAACUGCUGUCAGCAAAAGUAAUUUUGCUAGUCGUCUUGGGAUAACGGUGCCAUGUGCCAGACUCGGCCGCCAUGGACUGCCCAUCGCCGCGAACCGUGUUUUUAAUGCGUACUACUUGUUUCCUUGGCGGGCUUGCCCGCCAUUAGGACCCUAUUUAAAACCUUUUGUAAUUGCAAUCAGCGUCAAAAAUA